rnacentral:misc_RNA from 1 species
UUUCCGUAGGUGAACCUGCGGAAAGAUCAUUCAUAAUCAAGUGUUUUAUGGCACUUUUUAAAAAUCCCUAUCCACCUUGUGUGCAAUGUUAGAUCUCGUCAAUCUUGUCGAGAUUUUAUACAUCAACUCAUUCUUUAACUAAUUUGUCUGAAAAAUAUUAUGAAUACUUAAUUCAAAAUACAACUUUCAACAACGGAUCUCUUGGCUCUC